UGUGGACAAGUAACUUCUAAGUCUUUGUUUAUUUGCAGCAUUCCCCGGCUUUCAGCAUCACUGUGAAAAUUCAAGGGAAAAAAUGUGUAUCUUGAACCUGCCAACCUCGUGUCAAUGGGAGGCUGGCUCCAACCGGAAGGAAGAAGAGACUGUAUGCCACUCCGUGAUCUCUAGAACACUGACCCGCUGGAUACUUAUUAAAUACCUGCUGCAUACACAGAGCUGGGAUAGGCACAAAAGAAAAUUUGAAGAGUGUUGUCAUUUUGUUGGGGAAAAAAAUUUCCAUGUGAAAUAAUUGAGCUUCAUUAGAGGAAACAAAGUAAGAGAAAUCAAAAUGUUUUGUAAGAUACUGUGGGAGAGAGAAGAAUAUGGAAGUUAGCCAAAGGAGGAAAACGUGAAAAACUAAAAGUGGUUCUCAACCGGGGCUCCCCAUUUCAAUUACACAGAAAGUUCUUAAAACUCUCCAUACCCAGACCAUACUCCAAACCAAUUAAAUCAGGAUUUCCAGCAAUGGGACUUUUCCAUAAAUACAUAUGUUUUAAAUCUCCCAAGAUGGUUCCAUUGUGCAGCCAAGAUGAAGAACUACUAAUGCAGAGAAAAGAUAAAAGAUUCCCUGAAGGUCUGGAGUUAUGACCAUUAAGUGGGGGUGGAGGG
rnacentral:lncRNA from 1 species